rnacentral:rRNA from 1 species
UACGUAGGGUGCAAGCGUUAUCCGGAAUUAUUGGGCGUAAAGAGCUCGUAGGCGGUUUGUCGCGUCGGCCGUGAAAACCUGCAGCUUAACUGUGGGCUUGCGGUCGAUACGGGCAUCACUGGAGUUCGGCAGGGGAGACUGGAAUUCCUGGUGUAGCGGUGAAAUGCGUAGAUAUUGGGAGGAACACCAGUGGCGAAGGCGGCUCACUGGACCGGAACUGGACGCUG